GAUGAACGCUGGCGGCGUGCCUAACACAUGCAAGUCAAGCGAUUCUCUUCGGAGAAGAGCGGCGGACGGGUGAGUAACGCGUGGGUAACCUGCCUCAUACACAUGGAUAACAUACCGAAAGGUAUGCUAAUACAAGAUGGUAUAAGAGAUUCGCAUGGAUUUCUUAUCAAAGCUCCGGCGGUAUGAGAUGGACCCGCGUCUGAUUAGCUAGUUGGUAAGGUAACGGCUUACCAAGGCGACGAUCAGUAGCCGACCUGAGAGGGUGAUCGGCCACAUUGGAACUGAGACACGGUCCAAACUCCUACGGGAGGCAGCAGUGGGGAAUAUUGCACAAUGGGCGAAAGCCUGAUGCAGCAACGCCGCGUGAGCGAUGAAGGCCUUCGGGUCGUAAAGCUCUGUCCUCAAGGAGGAUAAUGACGGUACUUGAGGAGGAAGCCCCGGCUAACUACGUGCCAGCAGCCGCGGUAAUAC
rnacentral:rRNA from 1 species